GCCCAAAGGUUCCCUCAGCCUGGUUGGUAAUCAGGUGGUGAGUGUAAGUGCACAAGGGGGCUUGACUGUGAGACUGACAGGUCGAGCAGGGACGAAAGUCGGGACUAGUGAUCUGACGGUGGCUUGUGGAUGCGCCGUCACUCAACGGAUAAAAGGUACCCCGGGGAUAACAGGCUGAUCUUGCCCGAGCGCUCAUAGCGACGGCAUGGUUUGGCACCUCGAUGUCGG
rnacentral:rRNA from 1 species